rnacentral:tRNA from 1 species
ACCUGGGUGGCUCAGUCGGUUGGGCAUCUGACUUGGACUCAGAUAAUGAUCUCAUGGCUUGUGGGUUCAAGCUCCACAUUGGGCA